AUUGAACGCUGGCGGCAUGCCUUACACAUGCAAGUCGAACGGUAACAGGUUAAGCUGACGAGUGGCGAACGGGUGAGUAAUGUAUCGGAACGUGCCCAGUCGUGGGGGAUAACGUAGCGAAAGCUACGCUAAUACCGCAUACGAUCUACGGAUGAAAGCGGGGGAUCGCAAGACCUCGCGCGAUUGGAGCGGCCGAUAUCAGAUUAGGUUGUUGGAGAGGUAAAAGCUCACCAAGCCUGCGAUCUGUAGCUGGUCUGAGAGGACGACUAGCCACACUGGAACUGAGACACGGUCCAGACUCCUACGGGAGGCAGCAGUGGGGAAUUUUGGACAAUGGACGCAAGUCUGAUCCAGCAAUGCCGCGUGCAGGACGAAGGCCUUCGGGUUGUGAACUGCUUUUGUACGGAACGAAACGGUGAGCUCUAAUACAGUUUGCUAAUGACGGUACCGUAAGAAUAAGCACCGGCUAACUACGUGCCAGCCGCCGCAGUAA
rnacentral:rRNA from 1 species